AGUAACGCGUAAAGAACUUGCCUCACAUUAGGGACAACAUUUGGAAACGAAUGCUAAUACCUAAUAUUAUGAUAAUAGGGCAUCCUAUAAUUAUGAAAGCUAUAAGCGCUGUGAGAGAGCUUUGCGUCCCAUUAGCUAGUUGGAGAGGUAACGGCUCACCAAGGCGAUGAUGGGUAGCCGGCCUGAGAGGGUGAUGGCCACAAGGGGACUGAGACACGGCCCUU
rnacentral:rRNA from 1 species